AACGCAGCUAUAGGAUUUAUAUUUUAAGUUAUCUUGCAUCAAUAAAUUUUGCGGGACUUCGCCUACUUUGGGGGCCUUUUGCGGUCCUUCGUCCCUUUUUAGCUGAGGUCUAAGGCGCCUGCCUUUGUAUUCAAAACACUGUAUGAAAAAUCCUUUGUGUAGAGACUAUGUAAAAUGAAUAAGGGGCGGACCAUUAGAAAAUGGGGGAGGGGGGGUGGCAAUUUCAGAAAAAAAAAUCGUGCAAGGUCAGUUCAGAG